GGGUCUGUAGCUCAGUCGGUUAGAGCAGGGGACUCAUAAUCCCUUGGUCGACGGUUCGAGUCCGUCCGGACCCACCA
rnacentral:tRNA from 1 species